UGUUUUGACUGAAUUUUUCUUUUUCUUUUAUUAAUGGCGUCUCGGCAGCCGUUUCCUCUCGUGGCUGGUCACUAAGUUCGGUGACAGAUGUCGUUGAUACUGUAACAGUAGUAGCACUAGUAAUGGUAUGAUGGUGAGUUGGCAGAAAGGAUAAUGAGCUUAGAUGUUUCACGGGAUUUUCAAUAGGUCUCUCUCUCUCUUUUUAAAAAAAUUAAAAUCCGGACUGAAUUCAUUUUCUAUAUCAAUAAAAUAGAGUACUGGUCAUGAAUUGAUUAUGAUUCAGUUAUCGUCGAAACAAAUCGACAUUGCCGAUGUGAUCAUGAUGACAAUAUUAGCAACGAAUACGUUAUUGUUAUUGUUGGUGAUGGUAGUGGCGAUAAGGAGGAUGACAGUGUCAGUCGGAUAUUAAUAAUGGAUAAUAUAUUUCGAAAAUUGGUCAAUCAGUAGUGUUAAAGAAUCAUUCCUUUUACCGUGUGUAUACGGCUUGGGCCGUGCAAACAGACGUACACGUAUAAGCAUUUAUUGAUAGAUAUGAGGCUGAGGCUUCACCUGUACCUGCUUAAAGGUGUAUCUGAUAAAUGGCAUUAAUUUUUAACAUUGACACAAGGUCACCGAUUUUCUGGAAGGCGUAUACUAGAUUAUAUGGUACUAUUUAAGAAGGUUUUUUUCUUUAUCGCGGGUGCGGUACGCGCGUUGGGUCCAUCUUCUUAAGUAGUACCGAUUAUAUUGACCCCAAUACUUAAACUGGUACUUUACUUGCUUUAUCUAACACGAAAGUAUGAAGGACAAAAUCGACCCGAGUGGGAUUUGAUCUCACAACGUAAAGGGACGUAACAAAAUAUUGCAAGACUUUUGGGUGGAGCUCUACUAAUUUUCUUCAGUCCUUCAAAAGCAACCCGAUUCCAUGAUAUAGCUGAGGAAAAGUACCUCACGGGAACGUUCUGCACAUUAAAUAGUAGAAAUCUGGAUUAUGAAGGAGGAGCUUCAAUGUUACCAUGAUGGAACAUAGACCAAGCAUCUCAUAGAGCAAAGACAAGACCAAAGAGGGAAUUUGUGGACACAUUCCACCCAUCUCUACAAUUUUUGCUCAAUGUAGAGCAGGCUUUGGUGGUCGUUGUUAUUAUGCUCAGCAGUACAAUGUAUCGGGUGUUAUGUUUCGGAGACUUCUGCAACCUAAGUAACAAAGACCACUCAGUUACAUUGACGUUACUGGCAGAGAGACACAACAUGAAACUGAGGAUCUAUCAUAACUAUUGUGGGAAGAGAUAACUGGCAUGGAUUUGUGCAAUGUAUCCUGGCUACAACCACUUGAAGAAAUACACACACACACACACACACUCAGAUAUAUUUAAUAGGCAGAAGUUACAAAAUGACUCAAGGGCCAGAGCUUCAGGGUUAAUGAGCUAAGACUGUCAGUAUAAUGGCAUCUAGUCAGUCAAAAACCACCUCUCCUACAAAUUUAGAGCCAUCUAAAGAUACAAGAAACUAGAUUAGGAGCAGGCAUGGUUGUGUGGCAGGAAGCUUCCUUCCCAACCACAUAGUUCUGGGUUCAAGUCCACUCAGUGGCA